rnacentral:lncRNA from 14 species
CUGCGGGGCUCUGGCCGGGGCCGGUCUGAGGGAGCAGCGGCGGCUCCAUGGCUCCUGUUCCGCGGUGGCGGCUCCUGGCCGGGGGCUUCCGGAGGGACUGGUCCCCCCUCGGCAGCCCGCAGCGGGGCUGCCACCUCUCACUGCGGCCCCGGUCCAGGCGCCGGUUGCCGCCGGCCGCGUGGAGCCAGAGCCGCGGCGUGGAGCUCGUCUCCUUCACCGCAGGGAAGCGGCUCUGCAGGAAGAGGAGCGACGCGGGGAGAGUCCCCAGGAAGCAUCUGGCUCACAAAGGGUUACGCAAAGCAGCCUGGAGUGACUGCACUGCCACCAGCCCCGGAGCUCGGCUCCUUCCUGCUCGGACCCGAGGCUCGGUGAGUGUUUGACCCUGUCCCCGCGCUCUGCUGUCCCCUGGGAAGCGGCCGUGCUCCGGGUCCCUCUCGGAAGGGCUCCAGGACCCAGUGACCUUCUUGGGAGUCUUGCCCCAGAAGAGGGGGAUGAGCCGGGGUGGGAGAUCCUGGGCCCCCCCUGCCACAGUUCCACACCCCGAGGUGCCUCCAUCCUUCAGAUGGGCUCUGGUGGGGUCAGAGCUCCUGGAGACCCUUGUGCAGGGUCUCCCAUUGCAACAUGUGUGGAGUUGGGUUAAAGCAGCUUCUGGGAGCAGCUGGGACCUGCCAGGGAGUGAGGGUUUGGCUGAGAGUAGGGACCCUGCUCAGCCGGGGAAGGCUUUCGGGUUCCAGGUUAAGGACCCGUGUUGAGAGGUGGGGGCCUCACAUUGCCAGCAGUGUCAGCCAGAGGUGGGCACAGCCCUGAACCACGGAGCUACCCCAGCACAGCCCAGGCUUUAUCUGGCAUUUGAACUUCCAGAGAGGAUGUUUAGGGAAGGUAAUAGGAAAAUCUUCCCUGUGAGGGUGCUGAGGCGCUGGCACAGGGUGCCCAGAGAAGCUGUGGCUGCCCCAUCCCUGGCAAUGCUCAAGGCCAGGUUGGACACAGGGGCUUGGAGCAGCUGCUCCAGGGGAAGGGGUCCCUGCCCGGGGCAGGGGUUGGAGCUGGAGGAGCUUUAAGGUCCCUUCCAACCCAAACCAGGCUGGGAUUCUGGGAUUCUAAGAUCAAAACCCCAGGAAGACACUGUCCACAGUACGUGUGGGGCUCCCAGUGCUGGGUGUGUUGG